GCCAGAACCAUUUCAUCAUGGGAAAAUCUGAUCAAUCUAAUGGGCAGCAAGCCAUAUGGCCCAGACCCCUUCCAUCCAUACCUGCAACUUCUGCUAUCCCUGUCUUGGAAUCCAGUCACCAUGUAAAAAAUGCCACUGCCCUGAGACCACCCACCAUGCUGUUAAGAAGCCCAAGCAAGUGAAGUCACCGUAUACUAGAAUGGUUUCUAACAAUGAAAGGAACUCACCAGAGCCCCAGACUCAGCCUACAAAUCAAGCUUUAUUUUUAAAUAUUAAAAAGAAAAAAAUCUGUUAGAUUGACUUUUACAAGGAAAUAAAGCCAGGUUACUGAAUGAAUUCAUCUGAAGGUUAUUUAUAGUUUUGUUGCUUGUUUGUUUUUAACCACAGACAACAUGUCUUAAUUGGAAUGGACAAUAAAGAUAAACUGCUUCAGCCCUCUUGUAAAAUGGUGCGUAGUGUGAUGCUCAUAGCUGAGAUUUGAAGAAAUACUUUCAUUCAUUUUCAUAUCCAUCCAGCAAUCAUUUGUCAAACAGUUAUUCAGCACUGAACCAUGGACCAGAAAAGGGACAGACAGAAGAAUAAGGCAACGUUGUCCUCUUGAAGUAGUUUGAAGUUUGGAGGGACACACAUUUAAUCAUUAAAUCUUCAGUAAGAAAAAACAUAACAUGUCUUGGCCGGGAGCGGUGGCUCACGCCUGUAAUCCCAGCACUUUGGGAGGCCAAGGCGGGCAGAUCACAAGGUCAGGAGUUCAAGAACAACCUGGUCAACAUAGUGAAACCCCAUCUCUACUAAAAAUAAAAAAAAUUAGUGGGGCUUGGUGGCGGGCGCCUGUAAUCCCAGCUACUCAAGAGGCUGAGGCAGGAGAACAGCUUGAACCCGGGAGGCGGAGCUUGCAGUGAGCCGAGAUUGCGCCACUGCACACCAGCUGGGUGACAGAGCGAGACUCCAUCUUAAAA
rnacentral:lncRNA from 10 species